rnacentral:rRNA from 1 species
CGGUGGUGGAUUAGUGGCGAACGGGUGAGUAACACGUGGGCAAUCUGCCCUUCACUCUGGGACAAGCCCUGGAAACGGGGUCUAAUACCGGAUAACACUCUGUCCCGCAUGGGACGGGGUUGAAAGCUCCGGCGGUGAAGGAUGAGCCCGCGGCCUAUCAGCUUGUUGGUGGGGUAAUGGCCUACCAAGGCGACGACGGGUAGCCGGCCUGAGAGGGCGACCGGCCACACUGGGACUGAGACACGGCCCAGACUCCUACGGGAGGCAGCAGCC